rnacentral:rRNA from 1 species
UGGGGAAUAUUGCACAAUGGGCGCAAGCCUGAUGCAGCAACGCCGCGUGAGCGAGGAAGGCUUUCGGGUCGUAAAGCUCUGUCCUUGGGGAAGAAGAAUGACGGUACCCAAGGAGGAAGCCCGGCUAACUACGUGCC